rnacentral:rRNA from 1 species
UAGUUAUUUUCUUUAAACCUAAAGAAUUUGGCGGUAAUUUAUUCUAAUUAGAGGAAUUUGUCCCGUGAUCGAUAGUCCUCGUUUUAUCUUUCUUAAGUUUGUAAAUAUUCAGUAUGUAUACCGCCGUUAUAAGUUUAUUUUAAUAGAAUAGUUAAUUUACUUAAUAUAUUAUUUUAUAUUAUUUCAGGUCAAGGUGCAGUUUAUAUUUAAGGGGAGAUGAAUUACAUUAUUUUUGAAUAAACGGAUUUUAUUUUUAAAAUAUAUAUGAAGGUGGAUUUAUAGGUAAUAUUUAUUAUAAAGUAUGUAUGACUAUGGCUCUAAAUUAAGCACACAUCGCCCGUCGCUCUA